UGCAUCGGAACGUACCCAGUCGUGGGGGAUAACGUAGCGAAAGUUACGCUAAUACCGCAUACGUCCUGAGGGAGAAAGCGGGGGACCGUAAGGCCUCGCGCGAUUGGAGCGGCCGAUGUCGGAUUAGCUAGUUGGUAGGGUAAAGGCCUACCAAGGCGACGAUCCGUAGCGGGUCUGAGAGGAUGAUCCGCCACACUGGGACUGAGACACGGCCCAGACUCCUACGGGAGGCAGCAGUGGGGAAUUUUGGACAAUGGGCGAAAGCCUGAUCCAGCCAUGCCGCGUGAGUGAAGAAGGCCUUCGGGUUGUAAAGCUCUUUCAGAUGGAAAGAAAACGUACAGGUUAAUACCUUGUGCGGAUGACGGUACCAUCAGAAGAAGCACCGGCUAACUACGUG
rnacentral:rRNA from 1 species